UUACUUAUGUAGUUGUAGAUUAUAUGCUCUUCUAGUAAAGGAAACCUGUUUUAUUAAUAUUUAUUUCCAGAUUUGGGUAUGAGCUGUGACACACAACAGACAAUGGAAUGAUGUUGAUGGAGGGAAAGAAGAAUCUCGCUGCAUCAUGGAAACUAUUCUGAGACCUCAGGGCAGUUUGUGUAUGAAUUGAAAGUCUUCGAGGACAGAUUGAUAAUCUGAUUUAAACAUGCCAAGGUAAUUGCCUUUCUUUCCCCUUAAAUGUACCU
rnacentral:lncRNA from 1 species